CAAGAUCACUUAUGGGUUUGGAGUCCUCUCCAAAUUCCCGUGGAGGUUCAUGUUGAGGGUGGGUACACAAAUGGGCCUCCCUGCGUCUAAGUCCAGCCGCAGCGAGCAGCCCGGAGUAGUCCCACAACCCGGGCUGGCCCCAAGGCAAGCACCCCGCCUAGCCCUGGAUCUACAUAGGUACGAUGACAGCACGUGUAGCUCAGUGGUAGAGCGCUUGACUACUAGUCAAGAGGCCCCGUGUUCGACUCACGGCACGUGCAAUCCAAGCCCCUCACCCCCCCCUUCUGCACUUGACUCACUUGUGCGCACUUGCGCGAUGGACCUGGUUCGGGCUUUCGCACAAGGUACAUCCCACACUUGCAUUCCGCUGCACGGCCUGACUUGAUGCUUGCACACACCUGGUCUGUUCUCACACCUGGUCUGUUCUACCCUGAAUCCCUCACCGAGUCACCUGCAGACUUGUACUAUUUCAACUUGCAUCUCGCCAAAGCUCUCUUUGCUAGCCCGCAUCAUUACUACACUACACAGGUAGAGACAGACAGGGUUAGAGUCGGUUGUGAAUUCUGCUCAGUUCUCUGAACGUCAAAGUGAAGAAAUUCAUAACUCACAGCAGAGUGAGUCUGCUGCCCCCAAGCCAACAGGAAGUUUUUUCUGCUGUGGCCACUGGAUGUCAAAGAUAAUCUUAUCUAUAUUCAUCAACCGGGCCUUCCCCCACAUAACCCCGACCCAGUUGCGAAGGGCAUCUUCACAUCAAUCGACGUCCGAGCAUUCAGGCCACCAACAGGGCACACCCCUGGGACGACCCCGUGGAACCCACAGCAGAGCAAUUUUCGGCUGAGGCUGUUGAACGUCAAAGAUAAUCUAAUCUAUAUUCAUGCUGCACCCUUGCGUCACGAGACGACUAAAGCACUGCUCAAAGCACUACCCCUUCUUGUUUCUCUUGAUUCAUUGAGACCUCUCUCUACCUCCCUCUCCUACCUCUACCUCUACCUCUCUCUACCGCACUCUGCUAUGAAUGUCAAAGUAUAUAUACUCGCCACUGUGGCCCCCGCCUAAUGCUACCGCUUACCUCCCUGGCCAUCGAGCCUAGUCCUCCCUCGCCGUCUCCCCACGCAUCCGGUUAUACAUGUGGCCUGUACUAGCGUAGUACGCGAUAUCGUAGGACUGGAAUUUCGAUAUUCCUUCUCGGUGGGCCCCGGCAAGGGGUUCCAGUUGGCGCUGCGCGUGCCUUGAGCCCGGCGUUCAACUGAGCCGAGCUUCAACGCAGAUCUGGCUUACCCGCUAGAUCCAGACACUGCACACGUCCACUUGUGAUACUCGACAGUAGACUGUGUUGACCUCCCCCCUCACCCCGCGACUGGCACCUUUCCACGCUCCCCAGUUUUUGGACCCCACCCACCCAUUUCUCAAUGCCACCACCACCAUUAUGUUUGAAUUGACUUGGAUGUUAUAUGAUCUUUUUAUUGUCGCUUGGUUGUACUUGCUUGCUUUGCUUUGCUUUGUGGCGACUUGAAUUGCUUUUCGAUUCUUCAUUGCACUUCUGUACAUAUGUGCCGUGGUAUGUUUUUCUUGUGACUUGGCGAGCCAUGGUUCGAUUCGAUAUGCUUCACCUCUGUUUAUUUAAUGCAUGAUCUGCUUCAAUGUGCUUCGAUUUGCUUGCCAGUGAUUGGGAGCAGAUGUAUGUUGAAUCGCUCCGUACGCGAUAUCGUAGGAGCCAAAUCCUGAAUUUUGAAGUCUAACGGUCCGGGGGGAAGGUCCCGGUAGCAGUGACGUAGUCCUUGAGCCCGGCGUCGCCAUCGCCCGACCUGCACAUUCAUUUGCUUUGUCUCUGAGUUUCACUGAACUGCCGAAGCUUGACGGCUCAUUCGCAUUGGGCCUAGUGUCUGGAAAGCUCACCAAGCUCUCUCACUCACUUCUCUCACCUCUCUGCAUAUGGUGGUGCGUAGUGCCGUCUAGCUGAUGUGAUCCCUGUGCUUUGAUGGUUCUGUCUGUCCUCUUGUCUGUGGCGCAAGCAUCAGAGUGAUGCAUUGUACGAUUUGUUCUUGCUUCGAGUGGGUAGGUCCUUUCGAUGUUUGAAUUAUGCCAGUCCAAGGACAUUACCAUAAACUCAACCUCUCCCUGAUCAGAUACCCUCGCAAGGAUCCGGUGAGCAUCGCUUGAAGUUCCCUGGAUGACUGCGGCCUGUUCUGAAGGAUCAGGAUCGAUCGCAUACAAUAAGAUUGUCUCCAUGUUGUGUAAUAUCACACGAGCCGCGCUGCUACUAUAUGCAUUCACCUGUGAAGUCAAUAUGCAAUAUGCAUUAUGUAUGCAUUCACCUGUGUAGUCAAUAGAUCACUGUGAACUGCUUCGAUACUGUGAACUACUGCUUCUAUGAAAGCUAAGUAGUGCCGCGCUUUGCUUUGUGCAUGCAUGUAGUCGAUCGUUCAUAUCGGUGAAAUGCUCAGCCGUAUGUCUGACUGUGUGCAUGCAUAUGAUCAAUUGACCAAUUGUUAAUAACCUCCAUUGCCUCCAUGCAUACUAGCAUGCAUAUAACCAAUGGUUCAUCUUGCUGCAUGCACAACCUUAGCAUGUGAGUGAAUUCGCUGUGUGCAAGCUGCGCGAGAAUAUCUAAGUGCUGCUGCUCAACUCAACGUAUCUUCUCUCUACGAAAAUAUAAUGGUUUUGGGGACCUACCUUAUGAUAUUUUGGGUAUAUUUGAUGCUCUUGCAUGCAUAUAUUCAUGCGUGAAUGGAGAUUUGGCUAAGAUUUGGGGGAUGAUAAGUGGGAAAACGGGGAGGAUUCGAGAGGAUUCUUGGGGCGGAGGCCCCCCGGAGGUCCAGUUUUGGGCUUUUUGGCUUUGUUGACCCUCACCUGGCGACCGCGUGAGCCUGUAGCCGGUGGAGAUGCACUCUGCGGGGAUAGGGUGGAUGCCAGGGUGCCAGCCGCACCCCGGCGCCGCCAGCCUCGCUCCUCAAUGCAUGCCAUCGCCUUGCGGCGGUGGCGAAGCUCAGCCUCCACAGGUUGAGAACGAUGAGAGGCUUGUAUUCAUAACACCAUUGUGAAGAUGGGCCCUCCGGGGCCGCCAAGCCAAAACUGCUGUGACACGGCCCGCUCCUGGGCCCCCCUCUCGAGGGGGGCUCGUUGUGGGUGCGACAGCGCUGAAGGAUGUAUCGCGGGAAGCCGGGACUCAUGAUGAGCCCGCCACUUCCGAAUCGCCAUGCAGCCUGAGGAAUUUGUCAGAAGGGCUACAGAGGAAACGUCGGGCCCGGCUCACAGCAAUGUGGGCCGAGGCCAGACGGCACGAGUACUGCAAAAGCUCAUCCCGCUCCGGCGGGUGACUGUGUGGCUCCAUCUAGCGCUUGCGCUGGUGGGGUCACCGCUUAUCGCAGCUACCUGGUUGAUCCUGCCA
rnacentral:misc_RNA from 1 species